rnacentral:rRNA from 1 species
GACGAACGCUGGCGGCGUGCCUAAUACAUGCAAGUAGAACGCACAGUUUAUACCGUAGCUUGCUACACCAUAAACUGUGAGUUGCGAACGGGUGAGUAACGCGUAGGUAACCUGCCUGGUAGCGGGGGAUAACUAUUGGAAACGAUAGCUAAUACCGCAUAAUAUUGAUUAUUGCAUGAUAAUUGAUUGAAAGAUGCUAUUGCAUCACUACCAGAUGGACCUGCGUUGUAUUAGCUAGUAGGUGAGGUAACGGCUCACCUAGGCGACGAUACAUAGCCGACCUGAGAUGGUGAUCGGCCACACUGGGACUGGGACACGGCCCAGACUCCUACGGGAGGCAGCAGUAGGGAAUCUUCGGCAAUGGACGAAAGUCUGACCGAGCAACGCCGCGUGAGUGAAGAAGGUUUUCGGAUCGUAAAGCUCUGCUGUAAGAGAAGAACGGGUGUGAGAGUGGAAAGUUCACACUGUGACGGUAUCUUACCAGAAAGGGACGGCUAACUACGUG